AAAUAUGAUCUUGAAAUUGCUCUUUCUAAUUACAAAUACAAUGAAGAAGAUAUCAUAAAGUGGCUUCAAACAAGGACUCGAUGUUUUUUAAGGUUUUAUUUGUUGUCAUUCUCAUAAUUACUUCUUCCCAAUAUGAAGCCUUUGGAAGACAUAUUUCUGCAGAUGCUAUUCCUCAUUAUCGAUCUUAUCAUGAAGAUGAUAAAAAGGAGAAGAUUAAUUCAAGAGUACUUCAACAUGUUUCCCAACUUGAUGUUCCAAGAAAUGGUAACUAUGGAGGAAGUGGAGGGGGUCCAACAAGUUAAUUAAGACAGCUACUAAAUUUAUGGUUUAUUUUAGGGAAAAUUAUGUUGUCCAAAAAGUGUCUAUGCUACUGUGUCAUCUUUAUAACUUGUAGAUUUUUCUUUGUUGUACUAUUGGUUUAAUAUAUGUUUGUUUUUAGGUGCUAUGCCAUAUUGUGCUCACUCUAAGUUUAAACUUUCACUUGUGUACAUGAUCAAUUAAAGUCAGAUGUUAAUUUAAAGUUGAUACAAGAGAUUCAAC